ACCCGUCUUGAAACACGGACCAAGGAGUCUAACACGCACGCGAGUCACUGGGAAUUUUUCACGAAACUCACUGGCGUAAUGAAAGUAAAGGUCGUGGCCUUGCGCUCGACCGAGGGAGGAUGGCUCGCGUCACGAUGCGAGCCCGCACUCCCGGGGCGUAUCAAGCUCAUUGCGAGCUGUCGCGCACCCAGAGCGUGCGCGUUGGGACCCGAAAGAUGGUGAACUAUGCCUGGUCAGGAUGAAGUCAGGGGAAACCCUGAUGGAGGUCCGUAGCGAUUCUGACGUGCAAAUCGAUCGUCGGAACUGGGUAUAGGGGCGAAAGACUAAUCGAACCAUCUAGUAGCUGGUUCCCUCCGAAGUUUCCCUCAGGAUAGCUGGCACUCGCUUGAGCGAGUCUCAUCUGGUAAAGCGAAUGAUUAGAGGCCUUGGGGCCGAAACGACCUCAACCUAUUCUCAAACUUUAAAUGGGUGAGAUCUCUGGCUUGCUUGAAUUGUGAAGCCAGAGAUUCAUUAAUGAACGGAUCAGAGUGCCAAGUGGGCCAAUUUUGGUAAGCAGAACUGGCGCUGUGGGA
rnacentral:rRNA from 1 species